AUGAACGCUAGCUACAGGCUUAACACAUGCAAGUCGAGGGGCAGCAUGAACUUAGCUUGCUAAGUUUGAUGGCGACCGGCGCACGGGUGAGUAACACGUAUCCAACCUGCCGAUGACUCGGGGAUAGCCUUUCGAAAGAAAGAUUAAUACCCGAUGGCAUAGUUCUUCCGCAUGGUGGAACUAUUAAAGGAUUUCGGUCAUCGAUGGGGAUGCGUUCCAUUAGGUUGUUGGCGGGGUAACGGCCCACCAAGCCUUCGAUGGAUAGGGGUUCUGAGAGGAAGGUCCCCCACAUUGGAACUGAGACACGGUCCAAACUCCUACGGGAGGCAGCAGUGAGGAAUAUUGGUCAAUGGACGAGAGUCUGAACCAGCCAAGUAGCGUGAAGGAUGACUGCCCUAUGGGUUGUAAACUUCUUUUAUACGGGAAUAAAGUGAGGCACGUGUGCCUUUUUGUAUGUACCGUAUGAAUAAGGAUCGGCUAACUCCGUGCCAGCAGCCGCGGUAAUACGGAGGAUCCGAGCGUUAUCCGGAUUUAUUGGGUUUAAAGGGAGCGUAGGCGGACGCUUAAGUCAGUUGUGAAAGUUUGCGGCUCAACCGUAAAAUUGCAGUUGAUACUGGGUGUCUUGAGUACAGUAGAGGCAGGCGGAAUUCGUGGUGUAGCGGUGAAAUGCUUAGAUAUCACGAAGAACUCCGAUUGCGAAGGCAGCCUGCUGGACUGUAACUGACGCUGAUGCUCGAAAGUGUGGGUAUCAAACAGGAUUAGAUACCCUGGUAGUCCACACAGUAAACGAUGAAUACUCGCUGUUUGCGAUAUACAGUAAGCGGCCAAGCGAAAGCGUUAAGUAUUCCACCUGGGGAGUACGCCGGCAACGGUGAAACUCAAAGGAAUUGACGGGGGCCCGCACAAGCGGUGGAGCAUGUGGUUUAAUUCGAAGCAACGCGAAGAACCUUACCUGAUCUUGACAUCCCGAUGACCGCUUCGUAAUGGAAGUUUUUCUUCGGAACAUCGGUGACAGGUGGUGCAUGGUUGUCGUCAGCUCGUGUCGUGAGAUGUUGGGUUAAGUCCCGCAACGAGCGCAACCCUUAUCCUUUGUUGCCAGCGGUCCGGCCGGGAACUCAAAGGAGACUGCCAGUGAUAAACUGGAGGAAGGUGGGGAUGACGUCAAGUCAUCAUGGCCCUUACGACCAGGGCUACACACGUGCUACAAUGGCGUAAACAAAGGGAAGCAGAGCCGCGAGGCCGAGCAAAUCUCAAAAAUAACGUCUCAGUUCGGAUUGUAGUCUGCAACUCGACUACAUGAAGCUGGAAUCGCUAGUAAUCGCAGAUCAGAAUGCUGCGGUGAAUACGUUCCCGGGUCUUGUACACACCGCCCGUCACACCAUGGGAGUUGGGAGUGCCCAAAGCCGGGGAGGCAACCGCAAGGAGCCAGCCGUCUAAGGCAAGACCAAUGACUGGGGUG
rnacentral:rRNA from 1 species